GGAUCUGAAAUGAGUCUGCGAUACAUUAAAAAUAUAAUGAACUCAGCGGAAUUGUACACACUAAAGAACUUUUGCACUAAGUGCCUCGAAGUGCUAUCAUUGUUAACAAGAAAGGAAAAUCCUCUGUCACUGUGGAUAAGUCACUGAAGGUGGUGGAAUCGCACAACUGCACACUCGACAGGUGCCGAUGGUCCGCCCAGCAAACAGACCAGUUCCUUCAGACACCUCCAUGCAGGCUUUCCCUACAUCACCUGAAGAGGUUUACUUCUUGCUUGCACAUUAUUUCUUUCAAUAGGUUUUCACACUUUUGUCUCAGGGAAUUAAGUUCUUUCCGUUGGGACUAAAUUCUAUGCCGGCUAAGAAGAGGAUUGAGGCAUCAGUAU